rnacentral:lncRNA from 1 species
AAGGGACACAUGGAGGGCCACAAUCUUCCCAACACACAAGGCACAUGGAUGGUCAAGAUUGAGCCACCCUACCCCUAAACCCUAAUUCUUUAGUUAUAAAUACCCCUCUUCUUUUACUUGUAAUCACCAACCUACCAACCUAGAAAACCUAGCCACCUACUCUCCUUUUCUACCUAGUCAUUUCUAUAGUUAGUAUCUUAGAUAGAUUUACAUUUUGCUAGCCCCAAUUUCCUUUCCAAGCUUGUAUACACUUUUCAAUUUCUAUGCAAAUCUCUUUUAUUUAAUCUUGUAUUGUCUUCUUAAUUUAUGUUCUCCA